rnacentral:lncRNA from 1 species
CUUGUUGAAAUAUAAGAUUCUUCCAAUCUUGAAGUACUUGUUUAAAUCUAGCUACAAUUUGCUUCUCAUUGUUGAUCAUAUUUUGUGUACAGUAGAGAUGAUGAAGGGAAAAAAUGGAGCUAACUUAAAGUUAAAGAAGAGGAUAUGCAGUGGAAAACUUGGGAGGUUUCUAAAAGAGCAGAGAGGAAGGCUAUACAUUGUGAGAAGAUGUGUAGUUAUGCUACUUUGUUGGCAUGAUUAAUUGCACACCUAUAAUUGUAAAUAGCAAGGAG